UACGAAGGGGGCUAGCGUUGUUCGGAAUUACUGGGCGUAAAGCGCACGUAGGCGGACUAUUAAGUCAGGGGUGAAAUCCCGGGGCUCAACCCCGGAACUGCCUUUGAUACUGGUAGUCUCGAGUCCGGAAGAGGUGAGUGGAAUUCCGAGUGUAGAGGUGAAAUUCGUAGAUAUUCGGAGGAACACCAGUGGCGAAGGCGGCUCACUGGUCCGGUACUGACGCUGAGGCACGAAAGCGUGGGGGAGCAAACAGG
rnacentral:rRNA from 1 species